ACUUUUUGAAAACAAAGACAACACAAGGGUUAAGUAAGGUGAGUACAUCAUUACGCACAAGUUGUGUUCAAAUCUGAAUUGGCGCAGUGAUGACCACACCGUUUUGCAGAAAAAUAAUUAUGAUCAUGCUUAAUAAAUCAUAAUGAUGGGCCCACAUAC